UUUAAAACGUCGUGAGACAGUUUGGUCCCUAUCUGCUGUGGGCGUAGGAGGUUUGAGGGAAGCUGCCCCUAGUACGAGAGGACCGGGGUGGACGAACCUCUGGUGUGCCUGUUGUCGCGCCAGCGGCACCGCAGGGUAGCCAUGUUCGGCCGGGAUAACCGCUGAAAGCAUCUAAGCGGGAAGCCCCUCCCAAGAUAAGACCUCCCUUCCCUUCGGGGACUGAAGGGCCCAGGAAGACUACCUGGUUGAUAGGCCGGAGGUGUAAGCGCAGCAAUGCGUUUAGCUGACCGGUACUAAUCGCCCGUGAGACUUGACCAC
rnacentral:rRNA from 1 species